CUAGCUCAUAUUUGUAUGGAAUGGGAUCGUUUGCCUACGUUUGCCGCUAGGGGCGCUGUUCCAACUGCAUACAAAAUUGGGUUA
rfam:Bombyx mori DNA, contig: Bm_scaf2_contig2402, strain: p50T/Dazao, build 2, whole genome shotgun sequence.